rnacentral:rRNA from 1 species
GACCUCAAAUCAGGGUAAAAUACCCGCUGAACUUAAGCAUAUCAAUAAGCGGAGGA